GUCCCCUCAGGAUCACAUCUGGAGAGUUUUCAGUCCUCUACCAGUCUUGAUUACGGGAGGAAGAGUCAAGCAGGGAAAUAUCCAUUCCAUUCCUAGUUUGGGCGGUGGCUAGAGAGUGGAAGGCAAACUGCUCCAAGU